rnacentral:lncRNA from 1 species
GCCAGUGACAUCCAUUCUGCAUGGCCAUGAAUAUUUAUUGUCAUAUCCCUGCACCAGACAGAGUUGGGAAAGAGGGGUUAUGAGGAGGCUUUUCUUCCACACCAGAUGACUGUUGUCCCUCCUCAGCCCAACUGAAGAAAUGAAGUGGAUUGGUCUUUAGUGUGUCCUGGAGAAUGGAGUACUGGGAUUGACCAUUACUAAAGCGUAACUGAUAGCCCAUUGGAAACAAAGAACAGAGGGAGUACUUUCCAAGGAAUCAGGCGACGGGAGAACGAGUAUGAUGAAGAAAGAAUUAAAAUCCAAGGAGGAACAGAAGAAAAGUAUGUAGAAAAUGUGAUUUCCCCAAGGCUCGUGACAUUGUCUUGUAAGGGAAGAUGGGUCUGACUGCCAGUAGCAGCCUUAAACAAAAUAAUCAAAAAAGUGAGCCCCCGCACAUAAGCUCGAGACUAUCAGAAUUCUUCAGGGCAGAAUAAGUUGGGCCUUUAUUUCCCUCUGCUGCUUCCCUGGUAAUUGUUUGAAGAGUCCUGUGAAGACUUCUUUUUAAUUCCUCUCACUGUGAGGUAAGCCUUUAUAAAGACGGUCAUAAUACAGAAAGCAGAGACUUGUGCUGAGAAUGACAUUGUUUCAUAAAAAUGUCAGUGAUUAUUAAUUCAUAGAAGAUUUGUGAGGCAAGUGGAAAGACUUGAUAAGCCUCAUUUCCUUGACCAUAUUCAUUUUUUACCCAGGAAUAUAAAUUUUGCUAAUCACUAUUUCAAAUUGCAUUUGCCUUUCACCCAGCCACAACCGUGUUCGUUUUAAUUAGUUCAAGUUUGCGGGAUGUAAAAAUGUUUUCCUAUUCAUCAAGAUGUCCCUAGAAUAAUGCUAUCCAGAGUCCUGGGCAUUCUUGAGAAACAAGCUUCUCUGCAACAGAUUAAAGAGCACUUUUAAGGGCACUUCCCCAAAUAUAUAUAUACCCAAGGAGUCCAGUACAUCAUUCCAAGGAAAAUAACUUAUUUUCAAACCUCUUAUCACUGAAAAUUCAGUACUU